rnacentral:rRNA from 1 species
AUACGGAGGGGGCUAGCGUUGUUCGGAAUUACUGGGCGUAAAGCGCGCGUAGGCGGAUUGAUCAGUCAGGGGUGAAAUCCCGGAGCUUAACUCCGGAACUGCCUUUGAUACUGUCAAUCUUGAGUUCGAGAGAGGUGAGUGGAAUUCCUAGUGUAGAGGUGAAAUUCGUAGAUAUUAGGAAGAACACCAGUGGCGAAGGCGGCUCACUGGCUCGAUACAGACGCUGAGGUGCGAAAGCGUGGGGAGCAAACAGGAUUAGAUACCCUAGUAGUCC